rnacentral:rRNA from 1 species
CAGCCGCCGCGGUAAUACGUAGGUGGCAAGCGUUGUCCGGAAUUAUUGGGCGUAGAGGGCUCGCAGGCGGUUUCUUAAGUCUGAUGUGAAAGCCCCCGGCUCAACCGGGGAGGGUCAUUGGAAACUGGGAAACUUGAGUGCAGAAGAGGAGAGUGGAAUUCCACGUGUAACGGUGAAAUGCGUAGAGAUGUGGAGGAACACCAGUGGCGAAGGCGACUCUCUGGUCUGUAACUGACGCUGAGGAGCGAAAGCGUGGGGAGCGAACAGGAUUAGAUACCCCAGUAGUCCCUGUCUCUUAUAC